UCAGGCAUGGUGUACUGGGGACAUGGCCUCUCUUCUUUGAGCCAUUUGUUAAUGCAUAAGAGGCAGUCCAGGGUUCGAACCCCUGUGUCUGAA